CGCGGGAUUCGCCGCGCGCGGCGGGCGGGACGGGGACACGGGACGGGGUGCAGCAGGUGCGAAAACUCCGCAAUACACGAAAGUGUGACGGGGUCAUCCCGAGUGCCAUCCGCUGAGGAUGGCUUUUCCCCAGUGUAUAAAGCUGGGGGAAUAAGGAGAGGGCAAGCCUGGUGUCAGCCGCCGCGGUAAUACCAGCUCUCCGAGUGGUGGGGAUGCUUAUUGGGCCUAAAGCAUUCGUAGCCUGCUUGGCAAGUCCUCCGUUAAAUCCAACGAUUCAAUCGUUGGGCUGCGGGGGAUACUGUCCGGCUAGGGGGCGGGAGAGGCCGACGGUAUCCUCGGGGUAGGGGUGAAAUCCUAUAAUCCCGGGAGGACCACCAGUGGCGAAGGCUGUCGGCUAGAACGCGCUCGACGGUGAGGGAUGAAAGCUGGGGGAGCGAACCGGAUUAGAUACCCGGGUAGUCCCAGCUGUAAACGAUGCAGGCUAGGUGUUGGCGCGGCUACGUGCCGCUCCAGUGCCGCAGGGAAGCCGUUAAGCCUGCCGCCUGGAGAGUACGGCCGCAAGGCUGAAACUUAAAGGAAUGGCGGGGGAGCACCACAAGGUGUGAAGCUGCGGGUUAAUUGGAGUCAACGCCGGAAAUCUCACCGGGGGCGACAGCAGAAUGAAGGUCAGAUUGAAGGUCUUACCAGACAAGCUGAGAGGAGGUGCAUGGCCGUCGCCAGUUCGUGCCGUGAGGUGUCCUGUUAAGUCAGGCAACGAUCGAGACCCGUGUCCCCUGUUGCCACCGGCCUUGAGCCGAGCACACUGGGGAGACUGCCGCCGACAAGGCGGAGGAAGGAGCGGGCCACGGCAGGUCAGUAUGCCCCGAAUCCCCCGGGCUACACGCGAGCUGCAAUGGCAGGUACAGAGGGUACCGACUCUGAAAAGAGAAGGAAAUCCCGAAAGCCUGCCGUAGUUGGGAUCGAGGGUUGAAACUCACCCUCGUGAACAUGGAAUACCUAGUAACCGCGUGUCACUACCGCGCGGUGAAUACGUGCCUGCUCCUUGCACGAAUUCGCCGAAUCACUAGU
rnacentral:rRNA from 1 species